rnacentral:misc_RNA from 1 species
CAACUUCCACCUGGCUUACCUCCNUCAGUUAUGCGUCAUGACUUGUAUCGUCUUGAGCGUAUUGUGGGUUUCCUGUGUUGCAUACCUUUCUAAUGGUAUCGUGUUGAUUGAUCGAAGUCCCUUUUCAUCUUGUGUUGCUUUUUGCGACGCAUGAUGAACAUCGAGGCGGUCUCUAUGUUCCACCACGUUGAUGCUAGCGUUUUGAUGUUGUGGCCCAUUGAGUGUUGCUUGGUUUCGUGGAUACAGAACAUGAUUUGGGCAUAGGGUUACUUGUGACUCUURUUUUGUCCUUUAUCUGUGUUCUUUAUAACGACAGUUCAUGUGCGCCUAGGCUCGUACCUGCGUGAUGUUCUUUGUCGAAGAGGAAUGCUACCUGGUUGAUCCUGCCAGUAGUCAUAUGCUUGUCUCARAGAUUAAGCCAUGCAUGUGUAAGUA